ensembl:lncRNA
CAAAUCCUGACUCCACGAGUUGGAGUUUUGUAUGUAGGUACCUGCUUUGGAGGAUGCCUGUUGAAGCUAUGGAGGGAGAAGCAUUUUGCAAGUUUUCUAGUUUUUUCAUUUCUAAAAUAUAUACUUUUCCCUCAUAGGGCUGUUGUAAGGAUAAAAUGAAUUACUAAAUGUAAAGAACUUUGAACAAUGCCUGCCACAGUACUCUUAUAUAGCAUAUUUGCCACUUGUAAGAAAUUUUAGCUUUCAAACAGGCUAUGUAGAGAUUUACAGGCUCCACAUUUAUGCAGAGCUAUGCACUAUCAUUUGGCAACUGGUACAACUAGAGCAAAAGAAAAAUAGCUAAGGAUACUCACCUAGUGUUGGCAGUCUACACCGUACUGAGGAAGCUGUGUGCACAGAACUGGUUCUUUGGAUGUGCUACCCCUGACAUUUUUAUCAUUUUGUCAAUCUCACUGUGUAUAUUCAUGCCCACCAAUGUCCUCAUGUGGAAAACGUGUCCUUAAUGAUUCUAUGAUUAAUGGAGGACACAGACCAGUCCAUGGAUAACCUGAUGACAUGGAAGUGGUCUUAUUAGGAGUCAAUCUACUCAACAAUAUCAUUGACCACCUACCAGGUCUCAGAAGCCUUUGCUACGGGUUUUUAACUAUCUACAUGCUCACCUUCAACUCUGGACCAGCUCGGCCACCUGUUCCAAAUGCAACAUGGAAGUGUGGUCAUGAAGUACAUUAUUGGGUUCACCAUUGCCAUACCUCCUACCAAUCCAGACAACUUACUGGACACUGUCAUUACUUCAUAAAAGCAGCAGUACAGUUAGGCAUUCCCAUCUUAAGCUCAUUAAAUAACAAGGGGGUGGAGAAAGAGCAAGGGUUCUCCACAAAUGCGGUUCCUGUGACCAUGGCCUUCAUGUGCAUGCUUGACGGUAUAAACUCGGCAGCAGUGGUUCUCAGCAUGAGCAGCACAUUUGAAUCACCCAGAGAGCUUUUAACAUGUGCUCAAGGCAAGCCCACCCCCGGCCAGUUACAUGAAAAUCACUAUGGGUAGGUCGCAGGCACUGGUCACUUUUAAAGCUUCCUCCUCAUCCUAAGGUACAACUCAGUGCAUUUUUUGCUGCGUAUUAUUUUCACGGAUCAUAAAUCCUCAUGGUUUCCAGAAUAACUGCUCUCAAUGCCUUCUGAAAUUUUAGGGCUGUCCACUCCCACUGUUCCCAUUUAUUUGUUGCACUAUUUGUCACUACAGAGGACCCUAAAUCUGUGUUAAAAGGAAACUUGCAAGUCAGAAAUAUAGAAGACUCUAAGAAUAGAAAGAGCUCUGGAAAGAAAUUGUCUGUUGCCUGAAGAUAGGUUCUGCAUCAAGCAUUAGCCUUAGUCUAGUCAUUCUCCCUAAAGACUCGGCAAUUGUGUCUAAGUGUUUUUAUGUAACCCCCCAAAAGAGGGGUGCCCUCUAGACCAGAAUUAGCACAUUGCAUCCACAAGGCAGUACAAAUAGAUGUCUAAAGCGCCUUGACAAAAGGUGUUUUGCUUAUAUUUCUUGAAAAGUUGCAGAAAAUUAUACAGCAUAAAACAGCAAAAUAUGCUUAAAAAUGC